UCUGAUCUUAUUCUAGACGAAGAAUGAAAAGCCAGGAAGCUACAUAACCCAAGAAACAACAGUCAGAUGCCAAUAACCAGGAACCACCUGCAGGACAAGCUAAGCCCAGAAACGCUGCCUUCACCUGAACUUCUGCCUCAGUGCGAGACCUGACCUGAUUUCUUGCCUCUUUCUCAUACCAACAUUUCCAUCCAGUGGGGGGAGAAAUGUACCUUGCUGGGUGCAAAAAGUGCCAAUGCAAAAGAAAAUGCAAGACUGCGCAUACUUAACCCCUCCUGGAAGAACAAACUUUUUUCAAGGAAUCCCCACCCCUGUCUCCACCUACCUGCCCAAAAGUCCUUAAAAAUUUCCCUUUACUCUACUUCCAGGGAGAAGGUGCUUUGAGCAUGAGCUCCCGUUCUCCAUUACUUGAUCAAUGAAUGGAAUUUCUGCACUGUUUUGCCAAA
rnacentral:lncRNA from 1 species